AGACGUGCCGGGCGUUCCCGACCCGGGUGUUCCUCCUAGCUGACCCUCUGUACUUUUCUUUGUGUGUUGGCGUUUUGCCAAGUUGUAUGAGUCUCGGCCCUGAAACAAUGAAGGUUAAUGCAAAUAGAGUUUCUUCAUUUCACUUUCGUCCUUCUUUUUAACUCUUGGUAGCGUCUCGCUGACUCCCGACUCUUGAAAUUUUUCUGGCGCUAGGCCGGGUAUCUGAGGGUUAGGCCUCAGGAAAUUCUUCCGGCGCUAAGCCAGGCAUCCGAGGGUUAGGCCUCAGGAA
rnacentral:lncRNA from 1 species